AGCGUACACGGUGGAUGCCCUGGCAGUCAGAGGCGAUGAAGGACGUGCUAAUCUGCGAAAAGCGCCGGUAAGGUGAUAUGAACCGUUAUAACCGGCGAUGUCCGAAUGGGGAAACCCGGUGCACUUCGGUGCAUCAUCGUUAGCUGAAUACAUAGGCUAACGAGGCGAACCGGGGGAACUGAAACAUCUAAGUACCCCGAGGAAAAGAAAUCAACCGAGAUUCCCCCAGUAGCGGCGAGCGAACGGGGAACAGCCCAGAGCCUGAAUCAGCUUGUGUGUCAGUGGAACGGUCUGGAAAGGCCGGCGAUACAGGGUGACAGCCCCGUACACGAAGGCACACAGGCUGUGAGCUCGAUGAGUAGGGCGGGACACGUGAUAUCCUGUCUGAAGAUGGGGGGACCAUCCUCCAAGGCUAAAUACUCCUGACUGACCGAUAGUGAACCAGUACCGUGAGGGAAAGGCGAAAAGAACCCCGGCGAGGGGAGUGAAACAGAACCUGAAACCGUGUACGUACAAGCAGUGGGAGCCUUCGUAAGAGGGUGACUGCGUACCUUUUGUAUAAUGGGUCAGCGACUUAUAUUCUGUAGCAAGGUUAACCGUAUAGGGGAGCCGAAGGGAAACCGAGUCUUAAUUGGGCGUUAAGUUGCAGGGUAUAGACCCGAAACCCGGUGAUCUAGCCAUGGGCAGGUUGAAGGUUGGGUAACACUAACUGGAGGACCGAACCGACUAAUGUUGAAAAAUUAGCGGAUGACCUGUGGCUGGGGGUGAAAGGCCAAUCAAACCGGGAGAUAGCUGGUUCUCCCCGAAAGCUAUUUAGGUAGCGCCUCGUGAACUCAUCUCCGGGGGUAGAGCACUGUUUCGGCUAGGGGGCCAUCCCGGCUUACCAACCCGAUGCAAACUGCGAAUACCGGAGAAUGUUAUCACGGGAGACACACGGCGGGUGCUAACGUCCGUCGUGAAGAGGGAAACAACCCAGACCGCCAGCUAAGGUCCCAAAGUCAUGGUUAAGUGGGAAACGAUGUGGGAAGGCCCAGACAGCCAGGAUGUUGGCUUAGAAGCAGCCAUCAUUUAAAGAAAGCGUAAUAGCUCACUGGUCGAGUCGGCCUGCGCGGAAGAUGUAACGGGGCUAAACCAUGCACCGAAGCUGCGGCAGCGACGCUUAGGCGUUGUUGGGUAGGGGAGCGUUCUGUAAGCCUGUGAAGGUGUGCUGUGAGGCAUGCUGGAGGUAUCAGAAGUGCGAAUGCUGACAUAAGUAACGAUAAAGCGGGUGAAAAGCCCGCUCGCCGGAAGACCAAGGGUUCCUGUCCAACGUUAAUCGGGGCAGGGUGAGUCGACCCCUAAGGCGAGGCCGAAAGGCGUAGUCGAUGGGAAACAGGUUAAUAUUCCUGUACUUGGUGUUACUGCGAAGGGGGGACGGAGAAGGCUAUGUCAGCCGGGCGACGGUCGUCCCGGUUUAAGCGUGUAGGCUGACUUUCCAGGCAAAUCCGGAAAGUUAAGGCUGAGGCGUGAUGACGAGGCACCACGGUGCUGAAGUGACAAAUGCCCUGCUUCCAGGAAAAGCCUCUAAGCAUCAGGUAACAUCAAAUCGUACCCCAAACCGACACAGGUGGUCAGGUAGAGAAUACCAAGGCGCUUGAGAGAACUCGGGUGAAGGAACUAGGCAAAAUGGUGCCGUAACUUCGGGAGAAGGCACGCUGACAUGUAGGUGAAGCCCCUGCGGGUGGAGCUGAAGUCAGUCGAAGAUACCAGCUGGCUGCAACUGUUUAUUAAAAACACAGCACUGUGCAAACACGAAAGUGGACGUAUACGGUGUGACGCCUGCCCGGUGCCGGAAGGUUAAUUGAUGGGGUUAUCGCAAGAGAAGCUCCUGAUCGAAGCCCCGGUAAACGGCGGCCGUAACUAUAACGGUCCUAAGGUAGCGAAAUUCCUUGUCGGGUAAGUUCCGACCUGCACGAAUGGCGUAAUGAUGGCCAGGCUGUCUCCACCCGAGACUCAGUGAAAUUGAACUCGCUGUGAAGAUGCAGUGUACCCGCGGCAAGACGGAAAGACCCCGUGAACCUUUACUACAGCUUGACACUGAACAUUGAGCCUUGAUGUGUAGGAUAGGUGGGAGGCUUUGAAGCGUGGACGCCAGUCUGCGUGGAGCCAACCUUGAAAUACCACCCUUUAAUGUUUGAUGUUCUAACCUGGCGCCAUAAUCUGGCGUGGGGACAGUGUCUGGUGGGUAGUUUGACUGGGGCGGUCUCCUCCCAAAGUGUAACGGAGGAGCACGAAGGUCAGCUAAUCCUGGUCGGACAUCAGGAGGUUAGUGCAAUGGCAUAAGCUGGCUUGACUGCGAGAGUGACGGCUCGAGCAGGUGCGAAAGCAGGUCAUAGUGAUCCGGUGGUUCUGUAUGGAAGGGCCAUCGCUCAACGGAUAAAAGGUACUCCGGGGAUAACAGGCUGAUACCGCCCAAGAGUUCAUAUCGACGGCGGUGUUUGGCACCUCGAUGUCGGCUCAUCACAUCCUGGGGCUGAAGUAGGUCCCAAGGGUAUGGCUGUUCGCCAUUUAAAGUGGUACGCGAGCUGGGUUUAGAACGUCGUGAGACAGUUCGGUCCCUAUCUGCCGUGGGCGCUGGAGAAUUGAGGGGGGCUGCUCCCAGUACGAGAGGACCGGAGUGGACGCAUCACUGGUGUUCGGGUUGUCAUGCCAAUGGCACUGCCCGGUAGCUAAAUGCGGAAGAGAUAAGUGCUGAAAGCAUCUAAGCACGAAACUUGCCCCGAGAUGAGUUCU
rnacentral:rRNA from 1 species